rnacentral:rRNA from 1 species
GACGAACGCUAGCGGCGUGCUUAACACAUGCAAGUCGAACGGAAAGGCCCUGCUUUUGUGGGGUGCUCGAGUGGCGAACGGGUGAGUAACACGUGAGUAACCUGCCCUUGACUUUGGGGUAACUUCAGGAAACUGGGGCUAAUACCGGAUAGGAGCUCCUGCUGCAUGGUGGGGGUUGGAAAGUUUCGGCGGUUGGGGAUGGACUCGCGGCUUAUCAGCUUGUUGGUGGGGUAGUGGCUUACCAAGGCUUUGACGGGUAGCCGGCCUGAGAGGGUGACCGGCCACAUUGGGACUGAGAUACGGCCCAGACUCCUACGGGAGGCAGCAGUGGGGAAUAUUGCACAAUGGGCGGAAGCCUGAUGCAGCAACGCCGUGUGCGGGAUGACGGCCUUCGGGUUGUAAACCGCUUUCGCCUGUGACGAAGCGUGAGUGACGGUAAUGGGUAAAGAAGCACCGGCUAACUACGUG